rnacentral:rRNA from 1 species
ACGGUUACCUUGUUACGACUUCACCCCACUCACGAACCCCGCCGUGGUAAGCGCCCCCCUUGCGGUUAGGCUACCUACUUCUGGCGGAACCCGCUCCCAUGGUGUGACGGGCGGUGUGUACAAGACCCGGGAACGUAUUCACCGCGACAUGCUGAUCCGCGAUUACUAGCGAUUCCGACUUCAUGCAGGCGAGUUGCAGCCUGCAAUCCGGACUACGAUCGGCUUUCUGGGAUUGGCUCCACCUCGCGGCUUGGCAACCCUCUGUACCGACCAUUGUAUGACGUGUGAAGCCCUACCCAUAAGGGCCAUGAGGACUUGACGUCAUCCCCACCUUCCUCCGGUUUGUCACCGGCAGUCUCGUUAAAGUGCCCAACUAAAUGAUGGCAAUUAACGACAAGGGUUGCGCUCGUUGCGG